GAUGAAGAACGUAGCGAAAUGCGAUACGUAGUGUGAAUUGCAGAAUUCAGUGAAUCAUCGAAUCUUUGAACGCACAUUGCACCUCUCGGUAUUCCGGGAGGUAUGCCUGUUCGAGCAUCAUUUGUACCCUCAAGCUCUGCUUGGUGUUGGGUGUUUGUUCCGCCUCUGUGUGUGAACUCGCCUCAAAACAAUUGGCAGCCGGCGUACUUGUUUCGGAGCGCAGCACAUUUUGCGAUCCAGAUCAACGUACAGCGGCAUCCAAGAAGCCUUAUUUAACGCUCUUGACCUCGGAUCAGGUAGGGAUACCCGCUGAACUUAAGCAUAUCAAUAGCGGAGGA
rnacentral:misc_RNA from 1 species